rnacentral:rRNA from 1 species
UACAGAGGUCUCAAGCGUUGUUCGGAUUCAUUGGGCGUAAAGGGUGCGUAGGCGGCGCGGUAAGUCGGGUGUGAAAUCUUGGAGCUUAACUCCGAAACUGCAUUCGAUACUGCCGUGCUUGAGGACUGGAGAGGAGACUGGAAUUUACGGUGUAGCGGUGAAAUGUGUAGAGAGUCGGGAGGAACACCGGUGGCGAAGGCGGGUCUACUGGGCAAUUCCUGACGCUGAGGCGCGAAAGCGUGGGGAGCAAACGGG